rnacentral:rRNA from 2 species
GCGAAUACCGGAGAAUGUUAUCACGGGAGACACACGGCGGGUGCUAACGUCCGUCGUGAAGAGGGAAACAACCCAGACCGCCAGCUAAGGUCCCAAAGUCAUGGUUAAGUGGGAAACGAUGUGGGAAGGCCCAGACAGCCAGGAUGUUGGCUUAGAAGCAGCCAUCAUUUAAAGAAAGCGUAAUAGCUCACUGGUCGAGUCGGCCUGCGCGGAAGAUGUAACGGGGCUAAACCAUGCACCGAAGCUGCGGCAGCGACACUGUGUGUUGUUGGGUAGGGGAGCGUUCUGUAAGCCUGUGAAGGUGGCCUGUGAGGGUUGCUGGAGGUAUCAGAAGUGCGAAUGCUGACAUAAGUAACGAUAAAGCGGGUGAAAAGCCCGCUCGCCGGAAGACCAAGGGUUCCUGUCCAACGUUAAUCGGGGCAGGGUGAGUCGACCCCUAAGGCGAGGCCGAAAGGCGUAGUCGAUGGGAAACGGGUUAAUAUUCCCGUACUUGGUGUUACUGCGAAGGGGGGACGGAGAAGGCUAUGUUGGCCGGGCGACGGUUGUCCCGGUUUAAGCGUGUAGGUGUGUGUUCCAGGUAAAUCCGGUUCACUUUAACACUGAGGCGUGAUGACGAGGCACUACGGUGCUGAAGCAACAAAUGCCCUGCUUCCAGGAAAAGCCUCUAAGCAUCAGGUAACAUCAAAUCGUACCCCAAACCGACACAGGUGGUCAGGUAGAGAAUACCAAGGCGCUUGAGAGAACUCGGGUGAAGGAACUAGGCAAAAUGGUGCCGUAACUUCGGGAGAAGGCACGCUGACACGUAGGUGAAGUGAUUUACUCAUGGAGCUGAAGUCAGUCGAAGAUACCAGCUGGCUGCAACUGUUUAUUAAAAACACAGCACUGUGCAAACACGAAAGUGGACGUAUACGGUGUGACGCCUGCCCGGUGCCGGAAGGUUAAUUGAUGGGGUCAGCGCAAGCGAAGCUCCUGAUCGAAGCCCCGGUAAACGGCGGCCGUAACUAUAACGGUCCUAAGGUAGCGAAAUUCCUUGUCGGGUAAGUUCCGACCUGCACGAAUGGCGUAAUGAUGGCCAGGCUGUCUCCACCCGAGACUCAGUGAAAUUGAACUCGCUGUGAAGAUGCAGUGUACCCGCGGCAAGACGGAAAGACCCCGUGAACCUUUACUAUAGCUUGACACUGAACAUUGAGCCUUGAUGUGUAGGAUAGGUGGGAGGCUUUGAAGCGUGGACGCCAGUCUGCGUGGAGCCGACCUUGAAAUACCACCCUUUAAUGUUUGAUGUUCUAACGUGGACCCGUUACCCGGGUUGCGGACAGUGUCUGGUGGGUAGUUUGACUGGGGCGGUCUCCUCCUAAAGAGUAACGGAGGAGCACGAAGGUUGGCUAAUCCUGGUCGGACAUCAGGAGGUUAGUGCAAUGGCAUAAGCCAGCUUGACUGCGAGCGUGACGGCGCGAGCAGGUGCGAAAGCAGGUCAUAGUGAUCCGGUGGUUCUGAAUGGAAGGGCCAUCGCUCAACGGAUAAAAGGUACUCCGGGGAUAACAGGCUGAUACCGCCCAAGAGUUCAUAUCGACGGCGGUGUUUGGCACCUCGAUGUCGGCUCAUCACAUCCUGGGGCUGAAGUAGGUCCCAAGGGUAUGGCUGUUCGCCAUUUAAAGUGGUACGCGAGCUGGGUUUAGAACGUCGUGAGACAGUUCGGUCCCUAUCUGCCGUGGGCGCUGGAGAACUGAGGGGGGCUGCUCCUAGUACGAGAGGACCGGAGUGGACGCAUCACUGGUGUUCGGGUUGUCAUGCCAAUGGCACUGCCCGGUAGCUAAAUGCGGAAGAGAUAAGUGCUGAAAGCAUCUAAGCACGAAACUUGCCCCGAG